CACGGGACUAUAGGGAAGACCGCNUGGCGCGAAGUCAGAGGAAGGCGAGGGCAACGGUAGGUCAGUAUGCUCCGAAUGCUAUGGGCUACACGCGCAAUACAAAGGACGGGACAAUGGGCUGCAACUCCGAGAGGAAUGACGCUAUCCCGAAACCCGUUCGUAGUUCGGAUUGAGGGCUGUAACUCGCCCUCAUGAAGCUGGAUUAGGUAGUAAUCGCGUCUCAAAAAGGCGCGGUGAAUAUGCCCCUGCUCCUUGCACACACCGCCCGUAAAACCAUCUUAGUUGUGGGUGGGUGAGGCUGCCUCUCUUUCGAGAUGUGGUAUUCGAGCCUGCCUUCGACAAGGAGGGUUAAGUCGUAACAAGGUA
rnacentral:rRNA from 1 species